rnacentral:rRNA from 1 species
UACGGAGGGUGCAAGCGUUGUUCGGAAUCACUGGGCGUAAAGCGCGUGUAGGCGGCCUCCUCAGUCUGGUGUGAAAGCCCGGGGCUCACCCCCGGAAGUGCAUUGGAUACUGGGAGGCUGGAGUACCGGAGAGGAGGGUGGAAUUCCUGGUGUAGCGGUGAAAUGCGUAGAUAUCAGGAGGAACACCGGUGGCGAAGGCGGCAUCUGGACGGAUACUGACGCUGAGACGCGAAAGCGUGGGGAGCAAACAGG